UGGUGGGUAGUUUGACUGGGGCGGUCUCCUCCUAAAGAGUAACGGAGGAGCACGAAGGUUGGCUAAUCCUGGUCGGACAUCAGGAGGUUAGUGCAAUGGCAUAAGCCAGCUUGACUGCGAGCGUGACGGCGCGAGCAGGUGCGAAAGCAGGUCAUAGUGAUCCGGUGGUUCUGAAUGGAAGGGCCAUCGCUCAACGGAUAAAAGGUACUCCGGGGAUAACAGGCUGAUACCGCCCAAGAGUUCAUAUCGACGGCGGUGUUUGGCACCUCGAUGUCGGCUCAUCACAUCCUGGGGCUGAAGUAGGUCCCAAGGGUAUGGCUGUUCGCCAUUUAAAGUGGUACGCGAGCUGGGUUUAGAACGUCGUGAGACAGUUCGGUCCCUAUCUGCCGUGGGCGCUGGAGAACUGAGGGGGGCUGCUCCUAGUACGAGAGGACCGGAGUGGACGCAUCACUGGUGUUCGGGUUGUCAUGCCAAUGGCACUGCCCGGUAGCUAAAUGCGGAAGAGAUAAGUGCUGAAAGCAUCUAAGCACGAAACUUGCCCCGAGAUGAGUUCUCCCUGAGACUUUAGGUCUCCUGAAGGAACGUUGAAGACGACGACGUUGAUAGGCCGGGUGUGUAAGCGCAGCGAUGCGUUGAGCUAACCGGUACUAAUGAACCGUGAGGC
rnacentral:rRNA from 1 species